rnacentral:rRNA from 1 species
AGAGUUUGAUCAUGGCUCAGAUUGAACGCUGGCGGCAGGCCUAACACAUGCAAGUCGAGCGGUAGCACAGAGAGCUUGCUCUCGGGUGACGAGCGGCGGACGGGUGAGUAAUGUCUGGGAAACUGCCUGAUGGAGGGGGAUAACUACUGGAAACGGUAGCUAAUACCGCAUAACGUCGCAAGACCAAAGUGGGGGACCUUCGGGCCUCAUGCCAUCAGAUGUGCCCAGAUGGGAUUAGCUAGUAGGUGGGGUAACGGCUCACCUAGGCGACGAUCCCUAGCUGGUCUGAGAGGAUGACCAGCCACACUGGAACUGAGACACGGUCCAGACUCCUACGGGAGGCAGCAGUGGGGAAUAUUGCACAAUGGGCGCAAGCCUGAUGCAGCCAUGCCGCGUGUGUGAAGAAGGCCUUCGGGUUGUAAAGCACUUUCAGCGGGGAGGAAGGCGUUAAGGUUAAUAACCUUGGCGAUUGACGUUACCCGCAGAAGAAGCACCGGCUAACUCCGUGCCAGCAGCCGCGGUAAUACGGAGGGUGCAAGCGUUAAUCGGAAUUACUGGGCGUAAAGCGCACGCAGGCGGUCUGUCAAGUCGGAUGUGAAAUCCCCGGGCUCAACCUGGGAACUGCAUUCGAAACUGGCAGGCUAGAGUCUUGUAGAGGGGGGUAGAAUUCCAGGUGUAGCGGUGAAAUGCGUAGAGAUCUGGAGGAAUACCGGUGGCGAAGGCGGCCCCCUGGACAAAGACUGACGCUCAGGUGCGAAAGCGUGGGGAGCAAACAGGAUUAGAUACCCUGGUAGUCCACGCCGUAAACGAUGUCGAUUUGGAGGUUGUGCCCUUGAGGCGUGGCUUCCGGAGCUAACGCGUUAAAUCGACCGCCUGGGGAGUACGGCCGCAAGGUUAAAACUCAAAUGAAUUGACGGGGGCCCGCACAAGCGGUGGAGCAUGUGGUUUAAUUCGAUGCAACGCGAAGAACCUUACCUGGUCUUGACAUCCACAGAACUUUCCAGAGAUGGAUUGGUGCCUUCGGGAACUGUGAGACAGGUGCUGCAUGGCUGUCGUCAGCUCGUGUUGUGAAAUGUUGGGUUAAGUCCCGCAACGAGCGCAACCCUUAUCCUUUGUUGCCAGCGGUUAGGCCGGGAACUCAAAGGAGACUGCCAGUGAUAAACUGGAGGAAGGUGGGGAUGACGUCAAGUCAUCAUGGCCCUUACGACCAGGGCUACACACGUGCUACAAUGGCAUAUACAAAGAGAAGCGACCUCGCGAGAGCAAGCGGACCUCAUAAAGUAUGUCGUAGUCCGGAUUGGAGUCUGCAACUCGACUCCAUGAAGUCGGAAUCGCUAGUAAUCGUAGAUCAGAAUGCUACGGUGAAUACGUUCCCGGGCCUUGUACACACCGCCCGUCACACCAUGGGAGUGGGUUGCAAAAGAAGUAGGUAGCUUAACCUUCGGGAGGGCGCUUACCACUUUGUUAUUCAUGACUGGGGUGAAGUCGUAACAAGGUAACCGUAGGGGAACCUGCGGUUGGAUCACCU